GGGUAGAGUUCAGUGGUAGAGCACAUGCUUAGCAUGCACGAGGUCCUGGGUUCUAUUCCCAGUACCGCCA
rnacentral:tRNA from 1 species